rnacentral:rRNA from 1 species
UACGUAGGGAGCGAGCGUUAUCCGGAUUUAUUGGGUGUAAAGGGUGCGUAGACGGGAGAACAAGUUAGUUGUGAAAUCCCUCGGCUUAACUGAGGAACUGCAACUAAAACUAUUUUUCUUGAGUACUGGAGAGGAAAGUGGAAUUCCUAGUGUAGCGGUGAAAUGCGUAGAUAUUAGGAGGAACACCAGUGGCGAAGGCGGCUUGCUGGACGACAACUGACGCUGAGGCGCGAAAGCGUGGGUAUCGAACAGG